UACGGAGGGGGCGAGCGUUAUUCGGAAUUAUUGGGCGUAAAGGGCGCGUAGGCGGCUGAACAAGUCAAAGGUGAAAUCCCUCGGCUCAACUGAGGAACUGCCUUUGAAACUGUUCGGCUUGAGGCCGGGAGGGGGUAGCGGAAUUCCCAGUGUAGCGGUGAAAUGCGUAGAUAUUGGGAGGAACACCAGUGGCGAAGGCGGCUACCUGGACCGGUUCUGACGCUGAGGCGCGAAAGCCAGGGGAGCGAACGGG
rnacentral:rRNA from 1 species